AACGCAUAUUGCGCCCGUUGGUAUUCCAACGGGCACGCCUGUCCGAGCGCCAUCGAACAACCUCGAGCCCCGGCUCGCUGUUGGGCGUCGCCCGCGGGGGCGCGUCCCGAAACCCCUCGGCGGCCCAGCAGGUCCCGGAACGCACCGCGCCUUUGAACGGCACGCGAACCGGCCCUGCGGCGGGCUGCCCACGCCGCAGAGCACACAUGAAGGCCUCGGAUCAGGCGGGGUUACCCGCUGAACUUAA
rnacentral:misc_RNA from 1 species